UCUAGAUUAAGUGCUGCAUAUUUCCAGUUCCCCUAGAGUCCCUUUCACAUGCCCUUUCUCUUUAAAGUGAUGAGCUCUAUACAUCAGGAGACACAGGGUGGUGAUCUGAGGUGUGGCCUGGGACAGCAGAAGUAGGAGCUCUGCAGGAAGUCCAGAUGGCAGUGUGCCCACUUCCCCAGCAUAGAGGGUCUCUGUCCAGCACAGGAGGAGGAAAGUGACAGCAAGCUGGAGGAAAAUUGGUACCACAUCGGAUGGAAUGCAGAGAAUUUGCUCCACUUUUGAAAUCUGCAGGUUCUGGUGGAUAUGUUCAGACAAACCUCAUCUUCACCAUAUGUGCAUCCUGUGUCAUCUAGACAAGUGUUCAGUGAGCUGGGUGCAGGAAGCACAGCGCCUAGAAACAGACAUGUGCCUGGCCACAUCCCUAGUCUUGGAUCCCAAGAAUUCCUGACCUGAGUAUGUGCACACUUACCAUGAGUGACAUGGAGGGAAAAGAGCACCUCUCACCUCCCCUGCUUUGCAGACUAGUGUGGCAUUGUCAGAGCUCCAGAGGAACUCAGAGAUUCCACACACCAACAGGAGGCCAUGCUGUGGAGGACAAUGGCAUGGUUUCUCUUCCACCAUCCAACUACAGACAAGGACUCCAAGUUAACAACAAGAACUGUGGAAUCUACAGGAGUGGUCCCUUGUGACAGCCUCCCCAUGGGUACUUACUGUUGAAGCCUUGCCCAACUUAGACCCCUUUGCAUUUUGACAGUUUGGAAAUUCACAUAUGCCUCUGUGUCUUAGCACAUAAUCCAGAAAACCUGCCUGACCAUGUAAACAAAUAUCUCAGAGGAACCUUGGGAAUUAAAUGUGCUUCCCUUCCUGAACUGAUGAGUGGAUUCGUGAGAAGGGCAGUAUCCAUGGAUCACCUGUCCCAGGCCUCCACUAACAUGAAGAAGGAGAAAUUGAGGUCAUACCCUCGGCCCAUCUUUCACUGGUAUUAGACUGAGACAAUUUUCAAACAAAUACAGACGCACUUAAUUAGAAUAACAACAUAAUUUCUAUAAAUUGGCAUUCAGAAUGUUUGACCCCUGGAGGAGAGAAAUCUGAAGCUAUAUGAGCUCUCAGGUUCUACCAGCUGUUAUUCUAAAGGCAACAGAUGUUUGCACUUCAUCUAUACACUCAACAAAAUCCAGUCUGAUGCUCAAACACAAGAUGUAAAAACCAACUGGACCUAAACCUAGAAGAGAGGGCAGAGGACAGGAGAGAUUCCUCCCGACCAUCAUCUUCUUCUUCCAGGACUUCCCACCAAGUCUCAAAGAUCCACAAAGGGCUACAGGGAAGUAAUGGAGACAGGACACAUGGAACAUAACAGAAAGUUAAGUAACAGACCCAGUGAAAUCCUGCCAGCUGAUGUUCUCAUAGUCAACCAGGGAAAUCAAGGCAGAGAGAGUGGCUUGUCCACAAAUGACUGCAGAAGAAGAUUUAAAAACAAGAAUAAGGAACCCCUUUUAAAAA